GCUGCCAGCUAUCCCAUUUCUGUUAGAAAGAUGCUUUUAGGGGCUGUGCGAGGGAAUAAUUCCCUGAUUUCAGUUUUCCAGCACAUGGCAUUUAGGACAAUAAAUAGUACCCUUCUCUUCACUCAAAGGAGAGGCUGAUACAUAUUUGAGACCUAAAAAAACCUUUUCUGAAAAUCCAACUUACUCUUUCUAUCAGCUUUUUGUUUUCUGCUUUUCACCUAAAGGUUUGGAGUGGUUUUCCUUGGAAUUCCUGGGUUUCUAAUUUGAAAUAUGGCUUGAUACUAAAGCUGUAUAUUGGCUGAUACUGCUAUUUCUUUGCUGCUGAAUUACUUUGUCUCUAUUUAGUAAGUUUGGAUCCAUCUCUGAGCAGCUAGAGUUGGUAUUCGAUGAUCCACAGUCUAUUGUUACUGUCAAGUGGACAUGGAAUUUCAAUAUAAACAGAUGUUGAUGUAUAAAGUAUGGCUGGAAAGUGUGAUUUUAGUUUAAUUACCUUUUAGUAGCGAUUGAAUGUGUAACAAUGUAUCCACUGUAUUGCACUCUAUGUUGUGGGUAUGGAAACAUGAAAAACACACCUUAACAGGAAUUAGAUCAAAUAUUGGGGGGGCCAAUUUAGGCCGAAUGACACCCCGCCUGUUUGGCCUAGGGUCUAGUUUGGUAGUUCACCCUAUAUCCGCAUGAAAACAUGUACUAAUAUUGUUCACAUCUUUUAGAUAUCAUAAAUGAGAAGCAUGAUUUGGAUGCUAAUGUUUUAUUUAUGUUAUCAUGUGGUCAUAUGUUAAUUUGACUCUAUGUCCAAUGCUGUAUUUUAAGUCUUUAUAUGCUAUAUAUUUUGGAAUUUGUAUGAAGCUGUGCCUAAGAAGGUAAAUUGAGCCAGACUUGGAAACAACCCAAAUAGAGUUGUGCAUGUGAGUCUGGACACUUCAGGACAUGGACCAUGGAGUAUAACCCAGUGUGAAUUUACAGGAACUAAUGUUUUCCAGCCUUUAUUUUAUUACAACUUUUCAGCAGGUUAAUUAAAAACAAAUGGCAUUUCUCAAUUUCUUAGGGUCAGCAGAUUCGAACAUAUGGACUUUAGAAUCAAUGUGAUUUAGAAAUAUAGACUUAAGGAUCCAUAACAAUCAAAUGAAUCAGAUAUGCCUAGAGUUUGA